AGGUAAUGUUCGAUGUUGUAGGACGAUACUUAUAAAGAUGGUGGUGGGAAAAUGAUGUGAUUGUACAUGAUGAAAAUGCUGUGUAAGUGCUAGAAGUAUGUGCUAAAAAGGUCAAGAGACAACACAUGCAUUGAUAAAAGGCUGUGGUUCAUGAAGAGUUGUCACGUACUCAGAAAAGUUGGUAGUUGCUUUAUUUGCAUGCUUAUUGAUAUUACCAAUCGAAGUGACAAUUAAACAACUAUAUAGACUGGAUUUUUUAAGCUUUCUCAACAAAAACUUAUAAAAGUAAAACUACAACUUGACCAACUUUCAUUUCCUUAUUAGUAUGUAUUUGAAUAGAAUAGUUUCUCAAACAAUAGACCACUUAAACUUAUGGUAAUAAUAUAUCCGAUAUGUAUUAGUUUAGGAAAUGCAUUAAAUCAAUUGAAUAAGUUCAUCCGAGAUUUCUUCAUUCUUAAAAGAUAAUAAAAGUUAGAAGUUUACUUGACCAGUACUCAUGUACUUAUUCAUACGAAUAAGAAUAUUUUGUUGCUCAAACAAGAAUAAUAAAAUCAGUUUUACUUAAGUGGUUGGAUUUUCUAAUUUGACGCUAGGUUUUUCAUAUGCUCCUAUAAAUAAAACUAACCUUUACUCGACAUGCUAUAUAGUAUUGAGUACAAAGAGGUUACAAUCUCCACUCUAUAUCUUCUCUGUUAUUAUGUUGUUAGUAUGUUAUACAAAUCGAUCUAAGUAGUUUUUAUAUAGGUCUUUGUCAAAACAUAGUAUUCUUGAAGCAAUGUUAACCAUGAAGAGAACAAUUUCUGAAAUUAUUGAAGCACCAACGGUAAAUAUUUUGGGAAU
rnacentral:lncRNA from 1 species